AGUUUGAUCAUGGCUCACGAUGAACGCUGGCGGCGUGCCUAACACAUGCGAGUCGAGCGGAGCUGGUCAUUGGAAAUUUUCGAAUGGAAGAUGGUUAGCUUAUCGGCGGACGGGUGAGUAACGCGUGGGCAACCAACCUUGAUCAGGGGGACAACAUUGGGAAACCAGUGCUAAUACCGCAUAGCUCUAACGGAUGGCAUCAUCGGUUAGAGAAAGAUUUAUCGGAUCAAGACGGGCCCGCGUCUGAUUAGCUAGUUGGUGAGGUAACGGCUCACCAAGGCGAUGAUCAGUAGCCGACCUGAGAGGGUGACCGGCCACACUGGAACUGAGACACGGUCCAGACUCCUACGGGAGGCAGCAGUGGGGAAUAUUGCACAAUGGGGGAAACCCUGAUGCAGCAACGCCGCGUGAGCGAAGAAGGCCUUCAGGUCGUAAAGCUCUGUCCUAUGGGAAGAAGCAAUGACAGUACCAUAGGAGGAAGCCCCGGCUAACUACGUGCCAGCGGCCGCGGUAAUACGUAGGGGGCAAGCGUUAUCCGGAAUCACUGGGCGUAAAGGGUGCGUAGGCGGCUAAUUAAGUCAAGUGUGAAAGGCAUUGGCUCAACCAAUGUAAGCCUUUCAAACUGCUUAGCUUGAGUGCACGAGAGGUAAGUGGAAUUCCUAGUGUAGCUGUGAAAUGCGUAGAUAUUAGGAGGAACACC
rnacentral:rRNA from 1 species